ACAACACCAACUAGUGCUGCGUAAUAGCUAAGAAACAGAGCUGAAGGCAUAACAUGCCUGGUUGAAAAGUGUGUUAAUUAGACACUCAAUGCCAUUUGAGUGAUCGACAGAUUGCAUGCGCCCGACAUAUCCCAUCUUGUGAGUGGGUUAGGGUUAGACUCUGGAAUACAGUGUUACAAGAGGACUGUGAGGAGUGUACCGUCUCGAAGUGAGCGAACUCAGUGACGUGGAGGGCUGGACACCAUGAGGGUCGACGACAUGAACCCCCGCACAGGGAUGGUGGUGGCCAUCAGCAGCCCCUUACUGUUCUUCGGCUUCAUGUUCACCAUGUCAGGCAUGAAGGGAGAGACCCUGGGUGGGAUCCCUCUCAUCGCCAUUGGACCUGCCAUCUGCCUCCCAGGGGUGGUGGCUAUCAUUCUGGCUAACAGAACCAACGGCUGCACCAAGUUCCCCACCUGGCGCCAAUGUCUCAACUGCCUCUGUCGCAUGUGUAGGAAGAGGAAGCAGAUGCCUAGAACCAAAGAGUCUUCCAGGGUGGCCAGAGACUCAGAGGAGCCUGAUGGGGACAAGAGGACUGAGACUGGGUAUAGAUCUGGGGCUGGAGCAGACUCUGUAUCCAUUACCAUUACAACAGUGAAGGAGUCUGGUCAUAUGAUCAAUAAAGUGAACCACAACCAUGAUGAGGUGCGACGCUACCCAGCUAGUGCCUUGAUGGCCAAGGCAGGUGUCUCUAACUACAGUAUCUAUGAUAGUAAGUCCUACGCUAUGGACAGUCACUGGGGGGCCUAUAGUAGUAAGGUGCAUCGUGUGCCUCAGCAGCAACGGGACAGUUUUGUGGUGUACUACGAGGGAGACUUCUCUCCGUACGGACCCGGUUACUGCUACACCAAACUCAGAGAUUUAAUGUGGGGCGUAGAGACUGUGGUCUAAGUGUGGAUACUGAAGCCUACUGGGGAAACCCUAUUACUGGAAUUUGUAAACUACUACAUCUAUUUAGGUGUACCUGGGACAUGAAUAGUAAGCCUGUUUAUCUUACAGAUAAAUGCAGUACUAAUGUUGAAGCAGGUAACAUAAGAAAGACAUUUGCAGUAUUUGUUUCAUGAAUGAAUUGUAUGUUCCCUAUUUAUUUUGGAUUUUUAUUUCAUAUUGUAUAAAUAUCUAAUCUAAAUGGGCAUUAAGAUAUGUCUCUAAAUUGACAUUUACAUUUGCACUAAAUUAUAUAUUUUUGUCUUAAUGAUCAAGUAUCUAUUGCAUAUCUUAUUCAGCAAAAUCCAUUUAAUGCAUUGGUGUGUUUGUGGUAUAGUUACUAAAUAAAGAAAUGAUGAAACGUUUUUGUGAUUACAUCUGCCCAGAUGAUGCACAAAUGGACGUGAAUCAUGCAAAUAGUUCAAUCUGCACAGUACAAACCUGUUACAGAGACCACUAGAAGGGGAUAUACCACUGCCAAUGUACUGUAGAGGCUACUAAAAACAAAUUAUUAACAGUUUGGAUGUGAAUUAUUACCUUACAUUAUUUCAAAAUGUAAACAUCUCCAAGAACAGACAAAUAACGAAAGAUAUUCCUGUUUAAAAAAAGUAUACAUCAUGACAAUGUAUCUUCAUCGGCGUGGUUUUCACAAAUGAAGUCCAAUAGAAGAAGAGAGUUGUAGUCCUGUCAUGAAUAUUCAUGAUUAAAGCGGUGCAUUGUUGGAUACUACACAUGCCACUUUUGGACUAGGCAACUUCCGAUUCAAUGACGACUGCUGUUACGCUACUAUCAAAAUAGGGAACAUGACGGAGGAAAUCUAACUAUUGGUGCACUGAAAAUCCCCAUAAAUGCUGCGAUAGUAUAUCAGGGUUCAGUGUGUGCGUCAGGUGUGGAUGGAGUCAGUAACAUCAGAGCACCCAGCAUAGUUAUCACAGACAGGACAAUCCGAAGAAGUCCGUGUUCAGACCAACAGCCUGCACAUCGGCAGGCAGGGGGAGAAUGGUC